UACGGAGGGGGCUAGCGUUGUUCGGAAUUACUGGGCGUAAAGCGCACGUAGGCGGCUUGGUAAGUUAGAGGUGAAAGCCCGGAGCUCAACUCCGGAAUUGCCUUUAAGACUGCAUCGCUAGAAUCGUGGAGAGGUGAGUGGAAUUCCGAGUGUAGAGGUGAAAUUCGUAGAUAUUCGGAAGAACACCAGUGGCGAAGGCGACUCACUGGACACGUAUUGACGCUGAGGUGCGAAAGCGUGGGGAGCAAACAGG
rnacentral:rRNA from 1 species